rnacentral:rRNA from 1 species
UUCGCAAUGCCCGAAAGGGUGACGAAGCGACGCCGCGUGCGGGAGGAAGGCCUUCGGGUUGUAAACCGCUGUCGGGAGUUAAGAAAUGCAAGGAUGUUAAUAGCGUUCUUGCUUGACUAAGGCUCCGGAGGAAGCCACGGCUAACUCUGUGCCAGCAGCCGCGGUAAUACAGAGGCGGCAAGCGUUGUUCGGAAUUAUUGGGCGUAAAGAGCACGUAGGCGGCUGUGUAAGUCGGUUGUGAAAGCCUUCCGCUCAACGGAAGAACAGCAUCCGAUACUACAUGGCUUGAGUGCGGGAGGGGAGAGUGGAACUUCUGGUGGAGCGGUGAAAUGCGUAGAUAUCAGAAGGAACGCCGGCGGCGAAAGCGGCUCUCUGGCCCAUAACUGACGCUGAGUGUGCGAAAGCUAGGGGAGCAAACGGGAUUAGAUACCCCGGUAGUCCUAGCCGUAAACGAUGGGCACUAAGUAGAGGGGUUUU